ensembl:lncRNA
CCAGGCAGCAAUCUCGUUAUCAUUGAUUUGAUGCGGAAUGAAUCAGCGCUGACACAUCUCCACACUCAGCGAAGGAACAGCGCAGCACGUCGACGCGUCAACUGAUGGACAGAGUGAAGCGUUAAAGUUAUCCCGCGGGGCCCGGGGAUCGUUGUUGUGGUGGGGAAAAAACAACUGAGCCAGCAGUCACGGGAGCUAAAUAUUUGGAUGCUAUGCCCUUUUCGAAAGGAGGAGGACGAGAACUCGAGCGUUUUGAUGGACUCUCGCUAAUUUACUGGGAUCAAAGUGAUUGGAGGAAUGAAGGAGUUAACGGGAGAGGAGUUUGGAGUCUACGUGAAAAGGAUUUUACCUGGUGGCCUUGCUUCAAGUGAUGGACACCUCCAGGCGGGAGACCAGAUCUUGGAGGUGAAUGGGGAGAGUUUACUAGGGGUCACUAGUGAAAGAGCAGUAGACGUUCUGAGAUCAGCGUCCUCGAGCAACCAAAUGCGCCUUCUGAUCGCCAGAGACGAGGAAGCCAGGAGAGAGUUUUCAGAGCUUUUGGAGAAGUAUGGAUCCAGCAGUAGUACUGGGUCGACACGCAACUCUCCCAUCCAGCAUGGCAGAUAUCUGGACAGCACAUCGUCC